rnacentral:lncRNA from 1 species
AUGGGAGUGAAGCCAUCUAGGCUCAGCACUCUCACCCAGGGAGCUUGUCCUGGCAGGAGGUCACCAGUGGGCUGUAGAGACCCUUUCUUUACAGCCUUUGCCUGGCAAAGUACUGCAGAUGCAAGGAACAACAACUGUUCUCCUCGUCUGCAUGGACAUAAAGCAGGCAGAAAAACAAAUCAGGAUGCAGAAAGCUCGUUGCUGGGCUCCAGAGGUGGACUGAGCCAAAGGGGACCCCGCAUUUGUGACUUGCUAUCCCUCUCUGUGAGUUUUUCCUGCACAUCAGCCCUGACGGAGGAUGGCCCCUUCCAAAGCAACGCCACCCUUCAGGGGCUGAAGCCGGUUGGAAGAACCAGCAACUCUGGUGGUUUCUGCUGAGCAGAUCCAAGGUCCAUGGACCUCACUGGCCAUCCACAACGAUUUACAAGAGCAGAUGCUGACGUGAACAAGAGGGGUUGCAAAAAUUCUUCAUGGUGAUGUGGGGACAGAACUGUGCUCAAAUCCACAGGGCCUACACUUUGUGACUCCUCGAGCGCACUCGUUCCCAAGUGCAGCCAGCCCGGAGGCAAUAGGAAGCGGCUGUUUUGUGCAAUUAUUUCUUCACAAUGUAUGUAUUGUGGGAGAGGGUAUGAAGAGGUGUGAUUCCUUGAAGAAGCUCUCAUGUGAAUAGCAAUUGGCAGUAAUUAAAUAACUCCAGACUGUUUCUUGGGGGAAAAUUCAAAUAAUAAGCUGACAGAAAUAUGAGUACAACAAUUUGCUUCCUCUCCCACAGCCACAGCUCUUCUCUAAUGUUCUGGCAAUGCUGGCUGCAGAGUGACGUGUGAACUUCCAGUUGUUCGGUAGGUUUUGACUGAAAACCUCACAAAAUCUGGCUGUUUUCUGAAACCAACUUGUGUCUUAAGCACCUUAAUUUACCAGCUCUGCUCAUCUCUGUGGUUUGAUUGCAUCUGUCAAGUGUAGAGCAAAAGUGUCAAAGGAAUAGUAAAAAAAAAAAAGCCAGAAAUAAUGCUUGACUCUAAGGGAGGGCUGUAGACGAGUAAGAGAUAGAGAUGAAUGAGACUAAACUAAAAUAAUUUCAUACUAUUUGAGAACUGCCAGCUUCCAUCUGCAAAUCUUACAGAAUUUCUUUUUUUUUUUUUUCUGAAAGCCCCAGAAAAUACAAGACAUAAAUGUCUCAUUCUUGCAAGAAAAACAAUGAAAAUUAUUGCAUGAAUCUAAAAAAAAAAACACAACACCAAAACAAGCAAACAAAAAAACAACAAAACACAAAUCAAAACACAAACAAACAAACCAAACAGAAGGUGGCAAGCAAAUAAACCAAACCCUCCUGAAACUUUUUAACCCA